UAUAGGCUGGAGGGUCGAGUAUAAGAGCUCCAGGAUGCAAACUUCAAGUUGGAGGAGAAGAUGGAUUGCAUCAUACAAUAUUUGAGGAGCAAGGGUGAUAGUGACAUUUGUGGCAGUGAGGGGAGCUCAUCUACUAACUAGAACACACCUUGAUAUGGGAUUGGUGGCAAAAAGAUAGCUUUUGUGGGACUACUUGAACUCAAAUAAUUUUUUGUAAAGUUUGGAAGCUAAGACAUCAUUUGUAUAUAAAUAGUUGUAAUUACUUUGUGAACAUCUUUAUUGCAUUUUUAGAUUGUAUGGAUGUUUUUUUUUUUAUGGAUUUGGUUAGAAAUGAAUGGAUGUUUGAUUUUAUGGAUUUGGUUAGAAAUGAA